CAGAAGCCGCUGCAGAGGAGCCGCAGCAGUCGCAAACGCGCAAGCAGCAGCCACAGUCGCAGUCGCAGGCAGUCGCAAGCAGAGCAGCAAGUAGUUGCAAGGGCGCCGCCUCCGUCGAUAAACCAGCGGGUGACCAUCGCCGUGUUGCUCGGCAAAUUCCCCAAUCGUCGAAAUGAACCACUGACACGCCCUCGGCGCUUUUCUAUUUGACUAUUUGGUAUCUGGGUAUCUGGCUAUCUGGCAAUACCAUUGGAACCAUCCAUCCCGUCGGACCCAGCCUCACUCAAUUCAACGCACGUGCCUGGUCCUAGACUGGAAAACAGUACAACUGGACAACUGAAAGCCCACUGAGGUCCUUCCGCAGGCUCACGCACACAGGCGCAAGCAACAGGACUUGUUUAUCGGCAGCCCCUCGGUUGGGCCCCACUCCAAACUGGCCCAUCAAUUUUGGUUCUCCUACCCGCCACCGGGCGCUGGCGGCGGUUCCUCAAGAAUCAUAAAACUAAGGAAUCAAGUCUAACAAAUACGAAAUACAAAC